GUUUCGUGUCCAUCUUCCGUGUUUCAAGUGUUGACGUCGCUGUCAUCGUCGGUCCAGAAAAGGGCGCAAGCUUCCGGCGACCAUCAGUGGGAGCCGUCACUUGCAACCUGGACGCUUCUGCAG